CAGAGACUCGAACACAUAUGACUGUGAAGUAGUCAGCAACAGUGACUGUCACUCUGUCAGUCUGACGUCGACGUCAGCUCGAACGCGAUCGUACUGGCGGUCAAAGUUCAAUACACUAUCACAACCCUCUAGAUACCUAAUACGGCUGUGUGUUGUACAGUGUAUCUACUGAGAAGGAAUGGCCGAGAAGAUGUCAAAAUACCAUCAGAUUGUGGAAUCAACGCGAGAAGCAUUUCUCUCUGCCAAAACCCGUGAUGUAGAAUUUAGGAAGAAGCAGCUCAAUGCAUUGAUGCAGAUGUAUGAAGAACACGAAGAAACCUUUUGCUGUGCUUUGGCUAAGGAUUUGCACAAGGUAAGGAAUAUUAGAUUACACUUAC